CCUACGGGAGGCAGCAGUGAGGAAUAUUGGUCAAUGGACGAGAGUCUGAACCAGCCAAGUAGCGUGAAGGAUGACUGCCCUAUGGGUUGUAAACUUCUUUUAUAUGGGAAUAAAACGUUCCACGUGUGGGAUUUUGUAUGUACCAUAUGAAUAAGGAUCGGCUAACUCCGUGCCAGCAGCCUCGGUAAUACGGAGGAUCCGAGCGUUAUCCGGAUUUAUUGGGUUUAAAGGGAGCGUAGGUGGAUUGUUAAGUCAGUUGUGAAAGUUUGCGGCUCAACCGUAAAAUUGCAGUUGAAACUGGCAGUCUUGAGUACAGUAGAGGUGGGCGGAAUUCGUGGUGUAGCGGUGAAAUGCUUAGAUAUCACGAAGAACUCCGAUUGCGAAGGCAGUUCACUGGACUGCAACUGACACUGAGGCUCGAAAGUGUGGGUAUCAAACAGGAUUAGAUACCCCAGUAGUC
rnacentral:rRNA from 1 species